UUUCAGAGUCAGCCAGGCUCAGUCACGCCCCUUGCCGUAUAUCAUUCUUUGACGUAAUUCAUUCUCACCCAAAGAGGUCUAUAAUUAUUGAUCCACACAAUAGACAGCAGCCACACGGGGAUAAUCCUGUAUAGGAACUGAGAUAUUCAUAUGAUUAUAGCCUGACUAAUAUUCGUGGUGUACCGCAGAUCUGCAGAGUAAACCCAUGGUAUAGUCAGUUUCAUUUGAGUUGCCACAUCAAUGUUUGCAUCACUAAACGUCAUUCCUAGCCACACCCAAAAUGGUGGCAGAGUGCAAGCAAACUCUUUCAUUGAGCAUUUCUUCACCUCUAAGACCUUUUAUUGUCUAUUUUAUCCUUGCUUUGGAUACUACUACCUUUCAUUAUCACUGGCUAGACCUUUUUUCUGUUAUAAAGCUGACAAAGACCUCCAAUACGGAAGAUAACAACCUAGGUUUAGUCUGGCUGGUCCAGACCCUCAGCUAGACAUGGGGAGUGGGAACAUUUAUUGCAUGGACAUGAUAAGUGAUAGGUGCGUGGGUGGUCAACAUUAUAAGAGUUGAGAAAAUGAUUCCAUAGAAACUUUUUCACCUUCAUACAGUUUGUAGUGGGAGAGAGACUUUUAUAGCCUUAUUAACCGCGUGCUUCUGCUGCUCUUUUUCCUCCUCUUCAAAACAAGUCUUUCGGGAAGUUUUUGAUUGUUGGACAUGCUUCUUAUACUGUUAUUUAUUAUGUGGCUUAGAGAAGCAAGACCUAACUUGAACUUGAUAGCGGCAGCUCCUCUUCCUCGUCAGAGUAGGCCACUGCAAGAGUCAGCUAGUGGAGCAGGUCGAGCCGCAGCCAUCAUUGCUGGUGAUAGAAUCUGGUAUAAGAAUGAUGAAGACGAUCAUGGCUUCAGUUUAAUGGAACCUGUGCACGAAGUGGAAACAAGUUACUUUUACAGAAAAGAAGAAUUGGUUGUAUGAUGUCAUUGCAAAGUACCCAAAACUGUGUUGUGUGAUUCUAUUAGUCCCUUAUUGUAUCAAUCCGAUUUCUUUCAUAGCAUAUUGUAUAUUUUACUCUGUAUUGUUUAUUUUGUUCGUAAUUUUUGUUGUCUUACUCAGUGAAUUUCAGUGAGGCACAGGGCACAACACUA